UUAAACUAAAGAGUUUGAUCCUGGCUCAGAUUGAACGCUGGCGGCAUGCCUUACACAUGCAAGUCGAACGGCAGCACGGAGCUUGCUCUGGUGGCGAGUGGCGAACGGGUGAGUAAAAUAUCGGAACGUACCCAGGAGUGGGGGAUAACGUAGCGAAAGUUA
rnacentral:rRNA from 1 species